AUGGAACUGGACAAUUUGGACAGAAAAACAAGAAAACUCAUGACCAUUCAUCAUUCACUGCACCCUCGCAGUGAUGUUGACCGGCUGUAUCUGCCUAGAAGAUCAGGGGGCAGAGGACUCUUGCAAGUAAAACAAGCAGUCAAAGAAGAAGAACAUGCCCUGGCAGAAUAUGUAAAACAAAGUGAAGAACCUGCUUUGAUUGAAGUCAAAAAUCAGAAACUCCUCAAAGCACAGCAGACAAAAAACCAGUACAAGAAAACCGCACUACAAACUAGAGCUGACAGCUGGCACAACAAAACACUGCAUGGAAAGUUCCUUGACAAAAUUGAAGGAAAAGCUGAUAAAGAGAAGACCUGGCUCUGGCUCACGAAUGGGACCCUGAAGAAGGAGACAGAAGGCCUGAUCCUUGCAGCCCAGGAGCAAGCCAUCAGAACAAAUGCAAUCAAGGCCAAGAUCGAAAAAUCAGCUGAUGACCCAAAGUGCAGACUGUGCAAGGAAACCGAUGAAACCAUUGAUCAUAUCCUCAGCUGCUGUAAGAAAAUUGCACAGACAGACUACAAACAGAGGCACAACUAUGUGGCCCAAAUGAUUCAUUGGAACCUAUGCCUCAAGUAUCACCUCCCUGCAGUUAAGAACUGGUGGGAUCACAAACCUGCAAAGGUUGUGGAAAAUGAACACGCAAAGAUACUGUGGGACUUCCGAAUCCAGACUGACAAAGUUCUGGAACACAACACACCAGACAUCACAGUUGUGGAAAAGAACAAGGUUUGGAUCAUUGAUGUUGCCAUCCCAGGUGACAGUCGCAUUGAAGAAAAACAACAGGAAAAACUCAGCCGCUAUCAGGACCUCAAGAUUGAACUUCAAAGACUCUGGCAGAAACCAGUGCAGGGUGGCCUUUUGCAGCUGGCAGAUCGUAAUUUUGUCAAUGUCUAUUGUUUCCAAAUACCGGUUGAGAUCUUUUGGCACGGCACCCAAUGCACCGAUCACCACCGGGACCACCUGCAUUGGUUUCUGCCAGAGUCUUUGCAGUUCAAUCUUGAGGUCCUGAUAGCGGCUGAGUUUUUCCUGUUGCUUUUCGUCAAUGCGACUGUCACCUGGGAUGGCGACAUCAAUGAUCCAAACCUUUUUCUUUUCCACAACUGUGAUGUCUGGUGUGUUGUGUUCCAGAACUUUGUCAGUCUGGAUUCGGAAGUCCCACAGUAUCUUUGCGUGCUCAUUUUCCAAUACUUUUGCAGGUUUGUGAUCCCACCAGUUCUUUACUGCUAGGAGGUGGUACUUGAGGCAUAAGUUCCAAUGAAUCAUUUCGGCCACAUAGUUGUACCUCUGUUUGUAGUCUGUCUGUGCAAUUUUCUUACAGCAGCUGGGGAUAUGAUCAAUGGUUUCGUCGGUUUCCUUGCAGAGUCUGCAUUUUGGGUCAUCAGCUGAUUUUUCGAUCUUGGCCUGAAUUGCCUUUGUCCUGAUGGCUUGCUCCUGGGCUGCAAGGAUCAGGCCUUCUGUCUCCUUCUUCAGGGUCCCAUUCGUGAGCCAGAGCCAGGUCUUCUCCUUAUCAGAUUUUCCUUCAAUUUUGUCAAGGAACUUUCCAUGCAGUGUUUUGUUGUGCCAGCUGUCAGCUCUAGUUUGUAAUGCGGUUUUCUUGUAUUGGCUUUUAUUAUUAUUAUUAUUAUUAUUAUUAUUAUUAUUAUUAUUAUUAUUAUUAUUAUUAAGG
rnacentral:lncRNA from 1 species